GUGGUAUUUCUGUUAUAGCAGCACUAGAUGACUAAGACAGUUCUGUAUCUUGGUUUAGGAGAAUAUAUGAAUCCACCGAUGUGCUAAAAGACAGAUCUGUAUGCACACAUUAUACCAAUGUCAAUUUCCUUGUUCUGAUAUUAUACUACUAUGUAAAUUGUAACUAUUGGAAGGAACUGGAUUAAGGACCUCUCUGUACUAUCUUUGAUACUUCCAGUCAAUCUAAAAUUUUUUCAAAAUGAAAUGUUAAAUAAACCAAUGUUUGACUUAAUUGAGUAGCCUAAACAUUGUAUGAUUAGAAAAGAAAAUGAUGGAGAUUUUACUUAAAAAAAAAAAAUUGGUUCAGGUAGAAAAUCAACCUAAAAGAUCAGCUAGAACCAUUGGUGAAAAAGCAAAGUAUAGGGUCGGUUACAAUUCCAUGUGCUUAGAUUGUUGUUGUUAAGCGCCACGAGUUGGUUCUGACUCAUAGUGACCCUUUGUACUACAAAACGAAAUACUGCCUGGUCCUGCGCCAUCCUCACAACUGUUGCAUCCUCUAACUCUUGCACCUCCUCCCCUCAAAUAUGUUUUUUCUUCCUAUUUAAAUAAGAAUACACAUUUAAAAGUUCCUCCCCGUCAUUGAAUAAUUGACAAUAUUUAUGUACAAACUUGAGAAAGAACAUCUGAGCAUAAAAAUCUUUAUUCUGUGUUAUUGUCUCUAUUUAAGGGGUAGAAAUUACUUAUAUUAAAUCAAAUAUUUUGCUGUACUUAUCAAUAGCAAACAUAUCCACUGUGCUAUAUGUGAUAUUUUGGAAAAAAAGACAUUAUUAAUGGUGAACCAAAAUUUUGCACAUUUACAAAUAUAUAUCUGAACACACAAAGUACCAGAUUCAUAUCACUUCCCAAUCAUAAUCAUAUUUACUCAUAUGUUUAUUUUUUUGAAUAGGUGUUCUGGAGCUGUGAUACUAGCCACAAUGUGGAGCAGCAACUAAGCGUGAUCACUCAGUAUGACAACGAUCUGCAGAGGCAGGAGACAGCUUGUGGAUAGAUACAGCAUUCAGCAGCACAUGUUUACAAGUCAGACAGUCACCAACCUCUUCGAUGACAGCCUGUUUGCACCUUUAAGAGUGAGACCCAGAAUCAAGAAUUGACUGAAAAUGGACUGAAAAUUCCAUAUUUACAACUGUCAAAAGAGUAACAGCAAAAGACAUAUUUAAUCACAAUGGAAAGGUUGACAGUUGAAACCCACCCAGUGACACCGAAGAAGAAAGGCCUGGUGAUCUGCUUCUGUAAAGAUUUCAGCCAAGAAAACCAUAUGAAGCAGUUCUAUAACACAUGGAGUCGCCAUGAGUCUGACUCAACUCUGUGGCACUGGGUUUAGUUUUUUGGUUUUAAUGAGAAAUACCAAAUAAUAUGGAUUUCAGAAAACAGAGAGAGUAUAUUUACUGUAAGGGAUCAAACCACUAUCUCUUACAAAUAUUGGUAUGCACAUAAUGUGGUUUAAUAAAUGGAAAUUUAUCUAUUCCUGAAUCUUAGUGUAUGGCUUACAAACUCAUCCGUGAUUGGACACCUGUGGUGGGAAUAAUACAGUUUAGGCUUUGGUAUUUCUUGACUUUUCGUUAUUUUAUUUCAUCCACAGUGUUUAGUAAGACUGCCUGGUUAAUUUUUAUUACCUUUAUACAUUAUUGAUAUUGGUUUUUCUAUCUGUUGGGAAAUCUUUCCUUUUUGUUAUUAUCGUAGACUAAAAUAAAAUAAUAUUGUCAAAAUUGCAUGAAAAUGUUCUUAUUCCAUUAAUGUUGUAUGUGGUGGUGCAAUGGUUAAGUGCUUGUCUGCUAACCGAAAGGUUGAUGGUUUGAGCCCAUCAACAGCGCCAUGGGAGAAAAGACCGGGCUAUGUGUUCCCAUGAAGAUUACAGCCUAGGAAACCCUAAGGGGCAUGUCUGCCCAGUCCUAUAGGAUGUCUAUGAGUUGGAAUUGACUUGAUGGCACACAGCAACAACAACUAUUCACUACAUGAAGAAUCUCUUCGACUUAACUAGGUCUUUUCUUGAUUUCUCUCUAGAUUCCAGUGGUUGAUAAUGACAUUUAUAAAGUUUCAAAUAAAAAAUUGUGUCUGCUGAUUUUAAAAAGAGCCUCAAUAAAUAAAAUUAAUAGUUAUAUUGUCAUAAGGUUGAUAUAUUCUACAUUUGCCUAACAAAUAGAAUGGCUCAAUGUUCUAAGGAAUC